rnacentral:rRNA from 1 species
AAUUUUGGACAAUGGGGGAAACCCUGAUCCAGCCAUCCCGCGUGUAUGAUGAAGGCCUUCGGGUUGUCAAGUACUUUUGGCAGAGAAGAAAAGGUAUCUCCUAAUACGAGAUACUGCUGACGGUAUCUGCAGAAUAAGCACCGGCUAACUACGUCCCAGCAGCCGCGGUAAUACGUAGGUGGCAAGCGUUAAUCGGAAUUACUGGGCGUAAAGGGUUUUAAGGCGUUCAGGAAAGAAGAAUAUAAAUUCCCAGGCCCCAACCUGGGACUGGCAUUUUUAACUGCCGAGCUAGAGUAUGUCAGAGGGGGGUAGAAUUCCACGUGUAGCAGUGAAAUGCGUAGAUAUGUGGAGGAAUACCGAUGGCGAAGGCAGCCCCCUGGGAUAAUACUGACGCUCAGACACGAAAGCGUGGGGAGCAAACAGG